AUAACGUGGGGCCACUGGUUGCGAAAUAGCAAACCUUUGUACGUGAGGUGAAAUAACGCGGGAAACACCACACCAAGAAAAGAAAAAAGAAAAUACUGAUAGGAACGCCGGAGCUCGGGGAUAACGCGUCUUCUGGAUAUCAGUGCCAGAGACAGUCCAUAGGGGACUUCGUUCAACCAAGAAGUCGAGUUUUUUGCUUCGUCUUUAUUAUAGUAUUUUGUUUCACUGAAAUUCUGAAAUAUCAACAAGUUCAUGCGUAAAGGACAGCAUCUGGCUGGAUCUUCAAUAUGAAAAGUGUUGUUGGAAUUAUCAGCAUCUCUACAAGUGCUAUCCUGACAGACAUGUAUUAUUGUCCUCCGUGUCAAGUGAAAAUUAGAUGAGAACAAAUCGGGAGACUGCAGUUGUAGUAAGAGUUUUUGGAACGAAAGAGCCUAAUUGGUUUCUGGGAUGAUAUUCCUUCUGAGGGUGAAGAACCUGAAAUUUGGCAACGGUGACUGUUUGCUUGCAACUUGGCCCAGGAUCUGCCUGUUUGAGAGGCAAUGGCAUAUUGGUAAUUGCAGAGGUUUUGGCUGCCGUUGAAGGAUGUCCCUCAAUCAGCUCGGUG